CCUUGUGAAGGAGGAGACUGAUAGCAGCUUUCCAUUAACUGCUGCUCCUAUCAACAAUGAGUUCAGACUUUCAGGAUGAAAGCUGAAGACGUCUCCCUCUGCUGCUGUUCCUGCAUCCGUCUCUAAGGCUCCAAGCCCACUUCCUGCUGCUGGUUCUGCCCGUACGCUCUGUGUUCCCUCAUCAUGUUCAGGUUCCUCUAGUUGGCUCAACUAACCUCCUUCACUCUGCUGAAGACUAACAAAACUCAGUUUUUACCUGUUUUAUUUUCUAUGAUGAAAUGUGACUCUGCAUGCCGUGCUGGCCUUUAAAUGUUUACCUCUGAGGUUCUGGACUAGUCCAAAAAGAAAACCUAUUUCUAUUUAUGUAAACAUGAAGUAAUAUACUGAGGAAAAAUAAAGUCUUUUUCUGUAAGAA